rnacentral:rRNA from 1 species
GUAAGGAAUAUUGGACAAUGGACGCAAGUCUGAUCCAGCCAUGCCGCGUGAAGGAUUAAGGUCCUCUGGAUUGUAAACUUCUUUUAUAAGGGACGAAAAAAGGCUUUUCUAAGUCGUCUGACGGUACCUUAUGAAUAAGCACCGGCUAACUCCGUGCCAGCAGCCGCGGUAAUACGGAGGGUGCAAGCGUUAUCCGGAUUCACUGGGUUUAAAGGGUGCGUAGGCGGGCAGGUAAGUCAGUGGUGAAAUCCUAGAGCUUAACUCUAGAACUGCCAUUGAUACUAUCUGUCUUGAAUAUUGUGGAGGUAAGCGGAAUAUGUCAUGUAGCGGUGAAAUGCUUAGAUAUGACAUAGAACACCUAUUGCGAAGGCAGCUUACUACGCAUAUAUUGACGCUGAGGCACGAAAGCGUGGGGAGCAAACAGGAUUAGAUACCCGAGUAGUCC